AAGGAAUCAACAACAAGGAAGUAAGAUUCGAAUUACCAUGUUCAUCAAAUAUCUCAAGACAAGAACACUUGUUUGAGAUUCAAAUCACUCCACAAGCAA